GGCGCAGUGGCCGAGUGGCUUAGGCAAGGGCCUGCAAAGCCCUGUACGCGGGUUCGAUUCCCGCCUGCGCCUC
rnacentral:tRNA from 1 species